GAGUGAAAUAUUCGGUGAUUGUCCAAACGCAAUUAGUAGACGAAAGAGAAACGGAUUGACGUUUGGCCAAUCGGCCUAAAAUACUCUGCAGUCGACGGUAA
rnacentral:pre_miRNA from 1 species